UACGUAGGGGGCAAGCGUUGCCCGGAAUCAUUGGGCGUAAAGAGCGUGUAGGCGGUCCGGUAAGUCAGCUGUGAAAGUCAAGGGCUCAACCCUUGAAAGCCGGUUGAUACUGUCGGGCUAGAGUCCGGAAGAGGCGAGUGGAAUUCCCGGUGUAGCGGUGAAAUGCGCAGAUAUCGGGAGGAACACCAAUGGCGAAGGCAGCUCGCUGGGACGGUACUGACGCUGAGACGCGAAAGCGUGGGGAGCAAACAGG
rnacentral:rRNA from 1 species